rnacentral:rRNA from 1 species
GACGAACGCUGGCGGCGUGCUUAACACAUGCAAGUCGAACGGAAAGGCCCUGCUUUUGUGGGGUGCUCGAGUGGCGAACGGGUGAGUAACACGUGAGUAACCUGCCCUUGACUUUGGGAUAACUUCAGGAAACUGGGGCUAAUACCGGAUAGGAGCUCCUGCUGCAUGGUGGGGGUUGGAAAGUUUCGGCGGUUGGGGAUGGACUCGCGGCUUAUCAGCUUGUUGGUGGGGUAGUGGCUUACCAAGGUUUUGACGGGUAGCCGGCCUGAGAGGGUGACCGGCGACAUUGGGACUGAGAUACGGCCCAGACUCCUACGGGAGGCAGCAGUGGGGAAUAUUGCACAAUGGGCGGAAGCCUGAUGCAGCAACGCCGCGUGCGGGAUGACGGCCUUCGAGUUGUAAACCGCUUUCGCCUGUGACGAAGCGUGAGUGACGGUAAUGGGUAAAGAAGCACCGGCUAACUACGUG